rnacentral:rRNA from 1 species
UACAGAGGGCGCGAGCGUUGACCGGAAUCACUGGGCGUAAAGGGCGCGUAGGUGGCGGCAUAAGGCCGUGGUGAAAGUCUGGGGCUCAACCCCAGAUCGGCCAUGGCGACUGUGUCGCUUGGGUACUGUAGAGGCAGGUGGAAUUCCGGGUGUAGCGGUGGAAUGCGCAGAUAUCAGGAGGAACACCGAUGGCGAAGGCAGAUCUCUGGGCCGUAACUGACGCUGAGGAGCGAAAGCAUGGGGAGCGAACAGG